rnacentral:lncRNA from 1 species
GUAGCCUUCAGCCAUUAACACUUCAAACACCAUCUGGCCCUUUGAAAAGUCAGUUCAUUUAUUAAUACUCCUGUAAAGUCCCUUCCACACUCUGUUCACAGGAUUGCCUCCUGGACUGGUCAGACCCUGGCUUCUCAAUCCUACACAAGCAAGGAUGAAGAACAGUCCUGAAACGCUUUAGGAGGGACAGCAGGAUCUGAUGGUGGGAUGCUGAGGUCUGGAGUCUCACAGGUGCACUGCUGGCUAUGUGCUCUCUGGUUUUGGUGUGGACUUGUCUGCUGGAGCUGGACCCUGCAGCACCCUGGUAGACUAACUUGACAGCAUCCCAACCCAAAUCCUGCCCAGGAUGCAUGUCUCCCAGCUCAUCCAGUGCCAUCAGCCAGGUGAGAGGGAGCAGAGAGCUUUUGGCACAGUGGAGGAUCAGGAA